GGGCUCGAGACGAAGUAUCCAAAGAAUAACUCCACACCUGAAAGGGAAUAUCUGCAGAAACCGAAUCAAUUCUGGAACAAAAGAGGACCUUCAGAACAGCUGCCGGCCUGCCUGUCGUUCUCUUGCUGGAAGCCUGAAACCAGAGCUAGGGGUGAAUGCCAAACUUUUCAGGAAAAGACCUCCACAUUCUGGCCCCCCGUGAGCUGACAGCUCUUUGCCAUCAAAGUCAACAAUACUGCUUUGCUGCAAGGAGAUGAAGAUCGGCUGUUGACUGCGGACAGCUGGGUUUCACACAAUGGCAUAAAGAUGCGGAAAAGGAGUCUGCAUCCUCCGAAAGAUGCGGACUUCAACGGUGAGUCCUUCGAAGUCCACACAGGCUGAACGGAGCGUUUUCUACCCAAGAGAGGACAGAUUUCAGCACCAAGCAACCAUAACAGCUGCUGAUAAUAAGCGGAAAUAAAAAUUGUAAUGCAUUUUUUUUUCAAAGUGAUUUUAAAACUUAUUUUCAGCGAUCUUAAGGCAAAGCAAAUUUCCUUUGAUCCAUGAAUUUACACAUAAAAAUGUAAACUGUCGACUCUUUUUGUAAUUUAACAUGUGUUAUUGGAAGGGGAAUAAACUUAAUUUAUACAUU
rnacentral:lncRNA from 1 species